CCUACGGGAGGCAGUAGUCGAGAAUCAUUCACAAUGGGGGAAACCCUGCUGGUGCGACGCCGCGUGGGGGAAUGAAGGUCUUCGGAUUGUAAACCCCUGUCAUGUGGGAGCAAAUUAAAAAGAUAGUACCACAAGAGGAAGAGACGGCUACCUCUGUGCCAGCAGCCGCGGUAAUACAGAGGUCUCAAGCGUUGUUCGGCAUCACUGGGCGUAACGCGUGCGUAGGCUGUUGCGUAAGUCGUGUGUGAAAGGCGCGGGCACAACCCGCGGACGGCACAUGAUACUGCGAGACUAGAGUAAUGGACGUGGGACCGCAUUUCUCGGUGUAGCAGUGAAAUGCGUCGAUAUCGAGAGGAACACUCGUGGCGCAGGCGGGUUCCUGGACAUUACCUGACGCUGAGGCACGAACGCCAGGGGAGCGAACGGGAUUAGAUACCCUGGUAGUC
rnacentral:rRNA from 1 species